UACGAAGGGGGCUAGCGUUGUUCGGAAUUACUGGGCGUAAAGCGCACGUAGGCGGAUUUGUAAGUCAGUGGUGAAAUCCCGUGGCUCAACCUCGGAACUGCCUUUGAUACUGCAAGUCUCGAGUCCGGAAGAGGUGGGUGGAAUUCCUAGUGUAGAGGUGAAAUUCGUAGAUAUUAGGAAGAACACCAGUGGCGAAGGCGGCCCACUGGUCCGGUACUGACGCUGAGGUGCGAAAGCGUGGGGAGCAAACAGG
rnacentral:rRNA from 1 species